rnacentral:tRNA from 1 species
GGAAGCGUGGCAGAGUGGCCGAUUGCACCGGUCUUGAAAACCGGCAACGGGCAACCGUUCGUGAGUUCGAAUCUCACCGCUUCCG